rnacentral:lncRNA from 1 species
GCUGCAGGUGCUUGCCUGGUCCUGAAGGCUGAUAGGUCUUCAGCUCUCAGGCUACGCCUGGCUCAGGUGCUCAGCAUCCAGUCCCAGGUCUUCAUCAGCGCUUUUCUCUCCCCAGAACUGGUUCCGAACAUCAGCAGAUCCACCUCCCAAACACAGGAGCCAGGACUCAUUGGUGCCCAAGAAGGAAAAGAAGAAAAAUCUGGCAGGUGGAAAGAAGCGGGGCCGAAAGCCCAAGGAGCGGACCCCAGAGGAGCCUGUGGCCAAGCUGCCCCCGCGCCGGGACGACUGGCCUCCAGGAUGCAGAGACAAGGGGGCCCGGGGCUCCACCGGCCGGAAGGUGGGAGUCAGCAAGGCGCCUGAAAAGUGAGCUUGGUGCGUGGGGCCUGGCCCCCAUGCAGCAGCCACACCGCCCUCUGUUCAAGGCAGGGCCAGCUCCGGGACCUCUGUCCUCCAGUUCUCCAUCCCCCACCCCCGCCUCUUCAUCCGUCCAGUGGGGCAACCAGCCACUCUCCCUUCCCUGAAGGUGGCCCUUCCCCUGUUAAGGCUGCCACAGGGCACACCUGGGUUGGGCUCCCCAAGGUGUGCCCAGCAGAAGUGCAAUAGCCAGGAGGGUUGCCCCUCCUCAUGGGAAUGUGUCUGGGGUCUUGGUGCCACAGGGGCUGCAGCGCAGAGUAGGCAGAUGGCCUUUGGCCCCCCGGCUCCGCUUCCUCAGGCCCUGCCGGGUCCCUUCCCUGGCUACCCCAAGGCUCAGGCAUCCCUGGUGACCUGUGGUUCUGGGCUGGUGAGGGCACCUGAGCAACCUGGCACCGGCAGCCACCAUCCUGGCCUCACCUCCACCCAACACUGGAACUCCAGCACCCCCAGCUACCUCCCAGGACAGACCCCUGUCUGACCACUGCCAUGCUGACCUGACAGGCUCCCGCCUGCCCUUGGCCACCCACUUGGUCCCCUUGCUUCUGUUUUCUACCUCUCCAGGCCUGCCCACUACCCCCACCCCUGCCCCUCCUUUGUCAGUGCGAUCCCUGCUGUGCUCAGGCCCUGCCCCCCAGGCCUGUCUGUAAUUCUCCCAGCUUGGGGUAAGGGAGGGGUUUUGCUUCUUGUACCUACAGGGCAGCAGAAGCUUGAUGCCCUUCAACACAGCUGCCAGCCCUGGGGCUGUGGGGCCCCUGGAGUGUGCUCUCCUCCAGUGUUCAGCCUUCUGGCACUGCAGGCCUAGGUUGGAGCAGCCUCGUGGAGUAGGGACGGACUAGUUCGGGCCCUGGGGUCUUGCUGGGGCCCAUAGGCAUGUGGGGCAGGAAGCUGGGCAGAGCUGGCCUGGCUCUGAGUGGCCACUGGGGGAAAGGCAGCCUUCUGUCUGCCAAUCUGGGUAGGCCCAGUGGCCAAGCUCUCAUGGGAGCCCCCUCCCCACUUUUUUUUUUAACCUGCCCCCAUUGUUUCUGGUUGUGUGGUCAUUUGAUAUGGGAACUGAAGGCCAGCCAGGGGAGGGGCUUGGCCAAAGUCACAGCAGGUUGAUGGCAGCUCCAGAGCUGUCUUUGCCCCUUUGUGGCCCUGAGGACGGCUGGGUCUAUAGGUAGGGCAGGGGUCAGGCAGGGAGUCCAGGGUGCCUGGAAGAGGUGGCCACAGCCUGUGGCUCCCUCCCUGGGGUCCUGCCUUCCAACCACGGCAUUGCAGGGAGGAUGAGGCUCAGAGGGGGUAGGUUUGGAGGGAGGCCAUUUUCCAGGGUGGGUGGGAGUGGGCUGAGGGCUCGGCCCCACUGACCCUGGACGAUGAGAAUUUUGAUGUUUGCCCGUGUGCGUGUGUCUCCUGGGUGUAGUGGAUGCCAGUCUUGUUGCUGUGACAAGUAACAACCUUUUUUUUAAAUUGUUUUUUAUACAAACACUCACAAUCUGACAUUUGGUGCUAAGGGUUUCCUGGUGCAGACGGUGGGCCUGGGGGUUGGGCUGGGCCAGGGCGUGGGUCUCUGGGGUUUGGGUCCCUUGCUGCUCAGGGAGGCAGUACUGACUGGGCACUGCCUCUGCCCCCAGCACCCACCCUCCCCCAUCCCCCAGGGAGAAGGGGCCCCACUGGGCUUGGCCUGCAGUAGUAGGGAGACAAGUUCCAGGAGCACUUUGGGGACUGGGGUUGCAGGACACUUCCUGUCUCUGGCUUCAUCCUUGGGCCAGAAGGCUCCAACCCUCAGCAGCCCUUGCCAGAUGUGCCAGGGAGUGGGUGUGGAGACCCGGACUCCCCCCACCCACGCACACCUCGGCCUGAUGAGAGGACGAUGAGAGGACGGAGGCUGGGGCAGAGAUGGGCGUGACCCAGCGUCAGAGGGUCGGGGGAGGCAUUCCUUCCUGUGUCCCAGAGCUUCACUGGUGGAGCUGGAGGAGCCGGAGGUGGAGGGUGGGGUCUGGCAGCUGCUGCUGGGGCAGCCUCAUGAGGGGAGGGGAUGGGAGGGGAGGGGAGCAGGCACUGGGCGGGGGUCUAGGUGCACUUUGUCCUUGCCACCAAUGGCGGGAGGAGGGUGGACCUGAACACCUGCAGGGUGUGGUGCCUGCCCCAGCCUCAGGUACUUGGCCUUUGGGGAGAAGAGAAGAGGGUCUGGUUUUUGCUGGGGGUGAGUUUCCGGGACACUCCCAAAGCCCACAGAUAAUCCCUGGUGUGGGAAGAGGAGUCCUGGAUACCUUGAUGUUUAGCACUUUAACCCCCUUUGUCUUCAAGGUAGGCGUGGGGGCUACUGCCAGAAGUGGCUGUUGGGUCUGACCCCCUCCUUUCUGCCCUCCCUCUGCCACAUGCUGGUCCGCAGAGCCCUCCUCCCAAGGGGUAGGGCCCUGGGUGGAGCUCAGCAGGGUCUGCCCACUCCCUACGCUGGCCCACAUAGGCCUCCAGGAGCCCUCAGUGAGAGGGACCAGCAUAGCUGACCCCCAGAGUGUGGUGGGCGCCGGCCCUGCCCGAGGCCCAGUCGGGGCCCUUUCUGCAGAUCUACCUCUGGCUCAGCGCACGCCCCCUGCCCUGAGAACAGGAAAGGGCCCGGAAGGGCUGACUCACCGGGCCGACGCUCACACGAAAAUGGGAUGCACUUUAUUUGCUGGUGCAAAGGCAGGUGAGGGUGCCUCCUGUGUGACCGUUGGCCCUCCUGCCUGGUGGCGCUGAAGGGAAGGAGCCAGUGAGCCUGACCCCGGGAGGGGCCAUCCCCGUGUGCCGCGUUUGGCGGGGCCCCAGGCGGCUCCCCAAGGCCCGGGUCUGGGGCCCCAGGCUUUCCCCUGCCUCGCGGCCGGGCGUCCCGUGCUUUGGGUUUCUUGGUUUGGGUUUUUUAAUGCCAGUUCUCAGUACAUAAGUGCAUUUUGAAAGAGGUUCCAGCUAUCACUUGUAACCAUAUAUAUAUACAUAUAUAUUCUAUCUACAAAGUGUUUAUUUGCGAGAUGUUUCAACGGUGAGUUCGGGCCCCGCCCGCCUUGUGACCAUCUGUUCCCGGUCCUCGUCCCCGCCCCGCGCCCUGGUCCCGAGUGGCGUGGGGACGGGCCAUCACUGUAUGUAUUAA